rnacentral:misc_RNA from 1 species
GAAAUGCGAUAAGUAAUGUGAAUUGCAGAAUUCCGUGAAUCAUCGAAUCUUUGAACGCAUAUUGCGCCCUCUGGCAUUCCGGGGGGGAUGCCUGUCCGAGCGUCAUUACGCACCCUCAAGCCCGGCUUGUGUGAUGGGCCCCGGCGUCUCGUUCGCGAGACGGGCCCGAAAGGCAGCGGCGGCGUCGACCCGAUGAGCCCGAGCGUAUGGGGACUUCUGUCACACGUUCGCGGUGCGGACCGGCGCCUGCUUGACUUUUCUGAUUAUCCAGGUUGACCUCGGAUCAGGUAGGGAUACCCGCUGAACUUAAGC